GACGAACGCUGGCGGCGUGCUUAACACAUGCAAGUCGAACGGAAAGGCCCUGCUUUUGUGGGGUGCUCGAGUGGCGAACGGGUGAGUAACACGUGAGUAACCUGCCCUUGACUUUGGGAUAACUUCAGGAAACUGGGGCUAAUACCGGAUAGGAGCUCCUGCUGCAUGGUGGGGGUUGGAAAGUUUCGGCGGUUGGGGAUGGACUCGCGGCUUAUCAGCUUGUUGGUGGGGUAGUGGCUUACCAAGGCUUUGACGGGUAGCCGGCCUGAGAGGGUGACCGGCCACAUUGGGACUGAGAUACGGCCCAGACUCCUACGGGAGGCAGCAGUGGGGAAUAUUGCACAAUGGGCGGAAGCCUGAUGCAGCAACGCCGCGUGCGGGAUGGCGGCCUUCGGGUUGUAAACCGCUUUCGCCUGUGACGAAGCGUGAGUGACGGUAAUGGGUAAAGAAGCACCGGCUAACUACAUG
rnacentral:rRNA from 1 species